rnacentral:lncRNA from 1 species
GUGAUGAUCUCUGGAAAACCAACCCGGUCGCUCUGCCCCCCCUCUCUUAAGCUUGAACCUAAAACGAAAACUCCAUCGGUGGCCAAGAGACAAUCUUCACAAUCUCCGGCAACAACUUGUGGUUCGCUUCCUAUUCUAUUCCAUUAGAUCUUGGAAAUCUGGCGAGCUAAAGGAAGACAAAGACAAAUGAGGAGGGUCUAAAAUGGGUAAAUCUUAAUAAAAUAUGAGGAUUAAGGGAAGCAAUCGGACGAUAGAUUAAGGAAAUCUCUAUUCUUCCUUGCUCUUCUUCAUCUUUGUUUCUAUUCCUGUUUUUUAUUUCUCGAUGAGCAUCUCUAGACAGUUACGUAUUUGGAUCUUCUUAGCAAUAUAAUCCUACUUCCCUUUAUCCUGUUUUUAUCCAGCUCCAACGCAGGCCCCCAACCGUCUUAUUACCAUAUCCACUCGUCAAUAUCUCUAUAUCUCAUCGCAUUAUACUAUUCAGGUAAUCUCCGAAUCAAGUCUCUCUCACAUUUUAUAUAACUAUAAUAUCUCUUAAUUCAUAUUUGUGCAAUAUUGUCAGGGCCAGAUGCCUUGUGAAACAAGUCCUGGCCUUAGUACCACGAUUUUGCAUUUUGGGACAUUCUAUCCGUUCUCACACAAGUCAUGAAAAUUUUAUCUUGGAAUUAUAGAGGUUUUGAUCUCGUAUUGAGAACCCGAGAAUUAAAGUGUUUUGUAAAUCGUGCCAUCUUUUAUCAUUCUUUGUAAAUUGUAUAUGUGCUGAGGAUCUCUCAUCUCGGUGACGCCAAAGCGUCGAGACUUUUCCGGCCGAUCAUUAUCAUUGUCCUCGAAGCUCUUCCAGUGGUAGUACACCGACGACAUUAUUACUUAGUUUUUAUCGAUUUUUCCAUCGGGGAGAACUAGUGUUUGGGUGUUUGAUUUUAAUGGAUUGACCGUCUUGGCAAACUUCUCCAGUUCUUUCUGAAACGGUGAGAUAGUGAGAAGAAUUAAGAAGAACCAUUUGGCACCUUUUGGAAGUUAAGCUACUGAGAUGACACACGUGUACCGGCUAGGCCUGUGUAAUGAUCUUCAACCGCUGAUCUUGAUAAGCAAGAUUAGAUGAAGUUUGAUGCGGAUCACCAUUUUCAGCUGUUGAUCUUGGUAAGGAUGGACAAUCGUAUGAAGUUUGAGUCGGAUCACCAUCUGAGCCAUGGAUUUUGAAUGAAUUUUGACACAGAUCACCAUUUUCAGCCAGUGAUCUUGAUAAGGAGGGACUUUCAGAUGAAUUUUUACGCAAAUUCUAAACAUUUAUAUUUCAAAAUAUUGUCUAUGAUUCUUCUGGAUGGUGAUUAUGUGUUUAUGAGACAUUUUGCUAUAUAUUUUUUAUGAAGUUUUUAAAUUUAAGAGUAUUGAGUAUAUU